rnacentral:lncRNA from 1 species
GUGUGGCCGCCGAGCACAUGGACCCACUGGUCAAGCGGGCUCGGCAAGGCCAGGAUGAAGAGAAGCUACGAACUUAGCAUUCCCAGAGCCCCCCGAGUGGAUAUCCGCGUGGAAAGGAUGUUGGCAGCCCCGGUGACCUCGGAGUCACGGCUGGAUCCACCCUCUUGUCUGAUUUUCUUAACUCUACUACGGUAAGAAGAUGCCCUCCAUCAGCAGGCCGUGUCUGCUGGGACCUCUCUGGAGACUUCCUGAACCCUGUGGAUUUACAGUAAGAUGCAGUUUCCUGGGGAGUAAUUCUGGUGGAUACAAAUUCCGGAGUAUUACACCUGGCUUGCCUGGAGAUGUUACAAGUAGCUGGAUGGAUUCUUCAGCCUGGAUGCCCACUGAAAACAAGGACCGAAACUAAGAGGAUUGUAUCUCUACCCUUGACUCAAUGAGAAUGUUUGUUGUCAUCUCUCGGGCUACCUGGAGCUCCCUCUAAAAUUAUACCCUUUAAGCGUUCCAGAAGGAUUUUGAGAUCCUUUCCUAAAUCAAAGGUGGAAUAUUUGGGGAUUUGGAAAAUUGAGAAGCCAGUCUCUCAGAAGAACCAGUUGUGUUACUUUGCUGUGAGAUGCCUGCCCUAAGAGAGGAGCAGAAGGUCGGAACGGGUCCUCUAAUGUGAUAAUUAGAUGUGAAGCGUUGACUUAAGAGAUGCCAAGUAACUCAGCAGAUGUCACACAGACGAUAAAUAGCAAAGAUGGAAGUCUUCAUGCCGGAGGCAAUCCUAUAAGACAGCUGAGUUCUGCAGAGCUGGUAGGAGACAGACUUGCUCAGGUGAUAGAUCCAGCCAUGAUACUGACCCUAAGAGAAUGAGACGCUCUGCAGAAGACAGAAGAUUCCUGAAACUGGGAAAGGUGCCUAGAAAUCCUGAUAAGAGUGAAGAAGGAGCUGGCAGAGCAGCCUUCCUCCGCACUAUGAAAGACAUCCAACAGAGAGCAAGUUCCCACCUCACUUCCAGCUUGACUCCUUUUUAUCUCCUAACUGUGGUCUGUGAUGUCUUCAGCAAUGGGUACCUGGAGGCACAGCAGCCAUGUUGAACCUAUGAGGUGAUGAAAAACCAUGCAACUAGAAACCAGAAUGGAAGAAAAGAAGAAGCUGGAUCCUUGACUGAAUUGUCGAUGGGGGAUAGUCCAUCAUCCCAGGGCUAAGACCACCUCCAGAUUUCUUGUUUGGUGAAACAAGUCCUGAUUGUUUACAUUCCCUCGUGUUGAGCUGUCUCUUGCUUGUAGCUGAAAGCAUUUCUAAUAGAUAUUCAGAUUAUCAGCCUUAGCUCCAAGCUAGAAUACUCUAUGGGACCUUAGCUUCUCCAUGAAUUCCUUUGCUCAUCUGUGUAAUGCUCAAUAAAUGUAAAUUGAACCCUGAAUGAGGGACAAUGACA